ACGUAGGGUGCGAGCGUUAAUCGGAAUUACUGGGCGUAAAGCGUGCGCAGGCGGUUCGCCAAGUCAGCUGUGAAAUCUCCGAGCUUAACUCGGAACGGUCAGCUGAUACUGUUUUGCUAGAGUGCAGAAAGGGCAAUCGGAAUUCUUGGUGUAGCAGUGAAAUGCGUAGAUAUCAAGAGGAACACCUGAGGCGAAGGCGGGUUGCUAGGCUGACACUGACGCUGAGGCGCGAAAGCCAGGGGAGCAAACGGGA
rnacentral:rRNA from 1 species